rnacentral:lncRNA from 1 species
GGGGGACAUCCCACAUGCGUUGGUUCGUGGCGGGCAAUAAUGCCCCGCAGCUUUGGGUCGUGGCGACCAAUAAUGUGUGCAUGGUUUGUGAGGGGCAGGGAAUCCGAAUUAUUCAGGCCGAUCCAAACCCGCCCUGUCGAGCGAGCUAGUGCGAAGAGGAUGAGGAGCACGCACGGCGUGGUGAAAUCGUCAGACGACAGUGAGCGUCCUCCCCUCCGGAAUACCCACUGCCCAUCGACCAAUCCGAAUCGUGGACGUCACGCAUACAAAUGGCUCUCGUAGUCACACAGCUCGUGAAAGAUCGAAAAAUAUCGGCGCUUUUUUGUUUGCCCGCUGCGGCAGCAUCCGAACCGCGCGUUUGAAACAUGGGGGAAAUAUUUUGGCAGAAUCUCGGGAAACGCGAUGGUUUUCAGAGAUCUCGCGGUGGUGGAUGCUCUGCCAAACGCGGCGGUGGGCGGGCUUUACCGUCCGAGGGUGACGGCG